rnacentral:rRNA from 1 species
AACGAACGCUGGCGGCAUGCCUAACACAUGCGAGUCGAACGAGACCUUCGGGUCUAGUGGCGCACGGGUGCGUAACGCGUGGGAACCUUCCCUUAGGUUCGGCAUAACUCCCCGAAAGGGGUGCUAAUACCGGAUAAUGUCUUCGGCCCCAAGAUUUAUCGCCUUUGGAUGGGCCCUCGUUGGAUUAGCUAGUUGGUAGGGUAAUAGCCUACCAAGGCGACGAUUCAUAGAUGGUCUGAGAGGAUGAUCAGCCACACUGAGACUGAGACACGGCCCAGACUCCUACGGGAGGCAGCAGUGGGGAAUAUUGGACAAUGGGCGAAAGCCUGAUCCAGCAAUGCCGCGUGAGUGAUGAAGGCCUUAGGGUUGUAAAGCUCUUUUACCCGGGAUGAUAAUGACAGUACCGGGAGAAUAAGCUCCGGCUAACUCCGUG